AGUUAUUUAGUUUCGGAAACAUAGGAUUUUGAAAAUCCUUAAUAAAUGUUCAACUCAUUUAAUAACUU
rnacentral:tRNA from 1 species